rnacentral:rRNA from 1 species
UACGAAGGGGGCUAGCGUUGCUCGGAAUCACUGGGCGUAAAGCGCACGUAGGCGGAUCUUUAAGUCAGGGGUGAAAUCCCAGAGCUCAACUCUGGAACUGCCUUUGAUACUGGGUAUCUCGAGUAUGGAAGAGGUGAGUGGAAUUCCGAGUGUAGAGGUGAAAUUCGUAGAUAUUCGGAGGAACACCAGUGGCGAAGGCGGCUCACUGGUCCAUUACUGACGCUGAGGUGCGAAAGCGUGGGGAGCAAACAGG